UUUCGCCUACAGAUUCCUCCCCCUUCUUCCCUCACCCCAGUGUCCUUUUCUUUACCUAUUUUACUUUGAUCUCUCCUACUCGCCUCCCGGCCACUUCUCUCUUCUCCAGUGUCGUAUCUUCAGCUUUUCCAGCCGUUCACCAUACCUACAUACACAUACACACACGACCUACUCCCCCCCCUUAACCCACACCACGAGCUCAUGUCGGCCAUCGCGAAGGAGUUCAAGGGGCUCACGACGAAGGAUGUCGUGACGUGGCGCCGCCCCGUCGCGUCUGGCCUCAUUUUUUCAUCUUUCUUUACCAUGUGGGCCAUUUUCGUCUUUGCCGAGUACACGCUGACAACGUUUGUGUCUCGCAUCGUCUCCAUUCUCCUCAUUGCUGGUGCCGCCGCUGCCGUGACGAAGCGCACCAUUGUGACGUCGCCCGAGGAUGUGACCGCUAGCAUGGACCGUGCUUACGAGUCUGUGCGCCCGUGCGUGACCAAGUUCGUGGACUGCACGAUCUCCCUCCUCACGUGGCGUGACUACGCGGCGUCCGCCAAGUUUUUCAUGACCACCCUUGUGAUGGCCUUCCUCGGCAACUGGAUGAGCGACACGACGCUGAUGCUGGUCAUCCUUAUCGUUGCCUUUACGGCCCCGGUGGCAUACGAGAAGAAGCAGAACGAGAUCGAACACGCAGUGCAGCAGGUGCGCGCCUACGCUGACAAGUAUCUCGGCAUGAUCAAGACGCACGCAGAGUCCAAGAAGUCGUCGGUGGAGCAGCAGCUUCAGGAUAUGGAGCGCAAGGCCCAGUAGAGAUGCGCGAAAUGCCGAUUGGUGUAUGUAGCAAGUGCAGGAUACAGCUAGACAAGACAUAAGUAUUCUGUGCUUUGCUCCGAGUUCGGGGAAGGGAGGAGGAGGGGAGGCGAAGGGCCACGGGCACCGAAAAAGGGAAGUUGGAAGGCUGCCAAGCGUAUCCAACGCGAUUGCACGCACGCCGUAGGCGCAGCGGAGGCAUGCACGUGGAGGGUCGUGCAAUGAUGAAAGAGGUGCUGUUCUCUGUUCGCACACGCACCAGCGUGUACGCCUAAGCACGCAUUGCACAUGCGGGCACGCGGUCAGACAUUGAACAGCAAAUACAGCACGCAAGAGUAUUGGGAGCCGAGGCUACAUCCUUGGCUCAUGCAUUUUUUUGUGUGCCUUGCUGCAUGGUUCUUUCCUCCUCUUCUGCUCUUGGUGUUGUGGGCACGCGUGCCUGAGCCUGCGUCUGCGCACCCCACCCUCCAGCGAUCGCCUCUUUGUAUCUCCUCUGCCUGCUCGGUGUGGGUCUUCCUUCUCCACGGCUUCCCUCCUUUACCCGACUUCCGCUCUCGCUCACAUCUUUCUCCUGCCUUUGAUACCACCCCAG
rnacentral:misc_RNA from 1 species